rnacentral:rRNA from 1 species
UGUGACCUCAAAUCAGGUAGGACUACCCGCUGAACUUAAGCAUAUCAAUAAGCGGAGGAAAAGAAACUAACAAGGAUUCCCCUAGUAACUGCGAGUGAAGCGGGAAAAGCUCAAAUUUAAAAUCUGGCAGUCUUUUGGCUGUCCGAGUUGUAAUCUAGAGAAGUGUUAUCCGCGCUGGACCAUGUACAAGUCUCCUGGAAUGGAGCAUCAUAGAGGGUGAGAAUCCCGUCUUUGACAUGGACUUCCAGGGCUUUGUGAUGCGCUCUCAAAGAGUCGAGUUGUUUGGGAAUGCAGCUCAAAAUGGGUGGUAAAUUCCAUCUAAAGCUAAAUAUUGGCGAGAGACCGAUAGCGAACAAGUACCGUGAGGGAAAGAUGAAAAGAACUUUGGAAAGAGAGUUAAACAGUACGUGAAAUUGCUGAAAGGGAAACGCUUGAAGUCAGUCGCGUCGUCCAGGGAUCAACCUUGCUUUUGCUUGGUGCACUUCCUGGUUUGAUGGGUCAGCAUCAAUUUUGACUAUUGGAAAAAGGUUAAGGGAAUGUGGCAUCUUUGGAUGUGUUUAUAGCCCUUGGUCACAUACAAUGGUUGGGAUUGAGGAACUCAGCACGCCGCAAGGCCGGGUUUUAAACCACGUACGUGCUUAGGAUGCUGGCAAUAUGGCUUUAAUCGACCCGUCUUGAAACACGGACCAAGGAGUCUAACAUGCCUGCGAGUGUUUGGGUGAAAAACCCGAGCGCGUAAUGAAAGUGAAAAGUUGAGAUCCCUGUCGUGGGGAGCAUCGACGCCCGGACCAGACCUUUUGUGACGGUUCCGCGGUAGAGCAUGUAUGUUGGGACCCGAAAGAUGGUGAACUAUGCCUGAAUAGGGUGAAUCCAGAGGAAACUCUGGUGGAGGCUCGUAGCGAUUCUGACGUGCAAAUCGAUCGUCAAAUUUGGGUAUAGGGGCGAAAGACUAAUCG